UACGAAGGGUGCAAGCGUUACUCGGAAUUACUGGGCGUAAAGCGUGCGUAGGUGGUUCGUUAAGUCCGAUGUGAAAGCCCUGGGCUCAACCUGGGAAUGGCAUUGGAUACUGGCUGGCUAGAGUGCGGUAGAGGGCAGUGGAAUUCCCGGUGUAGCGGUGAAAUGCGUAGAGAUCGGGAGGAACAUCUGUGGCGAAGGCGACUGCCUGGACCAGCACUGACACUGAGGCACGAAAGCGUGGGGAGCAAACAGG
rnacentral:rRNA from 1 species